rnacentral:rRNA from 1 species
ACGGGGCGCAGCAGGCGCGAAAACUUUACAAUGCGAGAAAUCGUGAUAAGGGAACCCCGAGUGCCCGUAAAUUCGGGCUGUCCGCCAGUGUAAAUAACUGGUGAAGAAAGGGCCGGGCAAGACCGGUGCCAGCCGCCGCGGUAAUACCGGCGGCUCGAGUGGUGGCCACUAUUACUGGGCUUAAAGCGUCCGUAGCUGGAUUGUUAAGUCUCUUGGGAAAUCCAUCGGCUCAACCGAUGGGCGUUCAGGAGAAACUGGCAAUCUAGGGACCGGGAGAGGUGAGAGGUACUCCAGGGGUAGGAGUGAAAUCCUGUAAUCCUUGGGGGACCACCUGUGGCGAAGGCGUCUCACUAGAACGGCUCCGACAGUGAGGGACGAAAGCUGGGGGAGCAAACCGGAUUAGAUACCCGGGUAGUCCCAGCUGUAAACGAUGCGCGUUAGGUGUAUCGGUGACCACGAGUCAUCGAGGUGCCGAAGGGAAACCGUGAAACGUGCCGCCUGGGAAGUCCGGUCGCAAGGCUGAAACU